CCAGUUCGAUAGGGAUACUCAUCAAUUAAAAACAGAAAACCGAGAUCGCUUCUCAUGCUAAUGGCGGGCCACAUAAAUCCGUGAAAGCGGGCUAAGUUGUAAAACCGGUGGAUUACAAAGGCGGAGAGCCCUCAAAUCAUUUCACUCGGAGUUUUCAUCACAUCACUGGGCUGUC
rnacentral:sRNA from 1 species